CACAUGCAGUCGAGCGGCAGCGGGAAGUAGCUUGCUACUUUGCCGGCGAGCGGCGGACGGGUGAGUAAUGUCUGGGAAACUGCCUGAUGGAGGGGGAUAACUACUGGAAACGGUAGCUAAUACCGCAUGACCUCGAAAGAGCAAAGUGGGGGAUCUUCGGACCUCACGCCAUCGGAUGUGCCCAGAUGGGAUUAGCUAGUAGGUGAGGUAAUGGCUCACCUAGGCGACGAUCCCUAGCUGGUCUGAGAGGAUGACCAGCCACACUGGAACUGAGACACGGUCCAGACUCCUACGGGAGGCAGCAGUGGGGAAUAUUGCACAAUGGGCGCAAGCCUGAUGCAGCCAUGCCGCGUGUGUGAAGAAGGCCUUAGGGUUGUAAAGCACUUUCAGCGAGGAGGAAGGCAUCACACUUAAUACGUGUGGUGAUUGACGUUACUCGCAGAAGAAGCACCGGCUAACUCCGUGCCAGCAGCCGCGGUAAUACGGAGGGUGCAAGCGUUAAUCGGAAUUACUGGGCGUAAAGCGCACGCAGGCGGUUUGUUAAGUCAGAUGUGAAAUCCCCGCGCUUAACGUGGGAACUGCAUUUGAAACUGGCAAGCUAGAGUCUUGUAGAGGGGGGUAGAAUUCCAGGUGUAGCGGUGAAAUGCGUAGAGAUCUGGAGGAAUACCGGUGGCGAAGGCGGCCCCCUGGACAAAGACUGACGCUCAGGUGCGAAAGCGUGGGGAGCA
rnacentral:rRNA from 1 species